AGCAGCCGCGGUAAUUCCAGCUCCAAUAGCGUAUAUUAAAGUUGUUGCAGUUAAAAAGCUCGUAGUUGAAUUUCGGGAUCAGUUGAUCGGUCGUGCCUCGGUACGUACUGGUCAAAUUGAUUCCUACCUUCUGACGAACCACGAUGUCAUUAAUUUGGUGUCGCGGGAAAUCAGGACUGUUACUUUGAAAAAAUUAGAGUGUUUAAAGCAGGCUCGCGCUUGAAUACAUUAGCAUGGAAUAAUGAAAUAGGACGUUUGAUUCUAUUUUGUUGGUUUCUAGGAUCGACGUAAUGAUUAAUAGGGAUAGUUGGGGGCAUUAGUAUUCAAUUGUCAGAGGUGAAAUUCUUGGAUUUAUUGAAGACUAACUACUGCGAAAGCAUUUGCCAAGGAUGUUUUCAUUAAUCAAGAACGAAAGUUAGGGGAUCGAAGACGAUCAGAUACCGUCGUAGUCUUAACCAUAAACUAUGCCGACUAGGGAUCGGAUGAUGUUAAUUUUAAUGACUCAUUCGGCGCCUUAAC
rnacentral:misc_RNA from 1 species